rnacentral:rRNA from 1 species
UACGGGGGGGGCAAGCGUUGUUCGGAAUUACUGGGCGUAAAGGGCGCGUAGGCGGUUGGAUAAGUCAGCUGUGAAAACCACGGGCUUAACUCGUGGCCUGCAGUUGAGACUGUCUGGCUUGAGUGUGGGAGAGGAGAGUGGAAUUCCUGGUGUAGCGGUGAAAUGCGUAGAUAUCAGGAGGAACACCGGUGGCGAAGGCGGCUCUCUGGACCACAACUGACGCUGAGGCGCGAAAGCGUGGGGAGCGAACAGG